GGAGGGAUGGCCGAGUGGCUUAAGGCGGCGGUCUUGAAAACCGCUGGGUGAAAGCCCCGUGGGUUCGAAUCCUACUCCCUCCGCCA
rnacentral:tRNA from 1 species